rnacentral:rRNA from 1 species
UACGUAGGGGGCUAGCGUUGUCCGGAAUCAUUGGGCGUAAAGAGCGUGUAGGCGGCCCGGUAAGUCCGCUGUGAAAGCCGGGGGCUCAACCCUCGGAUGCCGGUGGAUACUGUCGGGCUCGAGUACGGAAGAGGCGAGUGGAAUUCCUGGUGUAGCGGUGAAAUGCGCAGAUAUCAGGAAGAACACCUAUGGCGAAGGCAGCACUCUGGGACGGUACUGACGCUGAGACGCGAAGGCGUGGGGAGCGAACAGG